CCUACGGGAGGCAGCAGUGGGGAAUUUUGGACAAUGGGGGCAACCCUGAUCCAGCAAUGCCGCGUGAGUGAAGAAGGCCUUCGGGUUGUAAAGCUCUUUUGUCAGGGAAGAAAAAGUAUCCCCUAAUACGGGGUGCCCAUGACGGUACCUGAAGAAUAAGCACCGGCUAACUACGUGCCAGCAGCCGCGGUAAUACGUAGGGUGCAAGCGUUAAUCGGAAUUACUGGGCGUAAAGCGUGCGCAGGCGGUUAUAUAAGUCAGAUGUGAAAUCCCUGGGCUCAACCUAGGAACUGCAUUUGAGACUGUAUGGCUAGAGUGUGUCAGAGGGGGGUAGAAUUCCACGUGUAGCAGUGAAAUGCGUAGAUAUGUGGAGGAAUACCGAUGGCGAAGGCAGCCCCCUGGGAUAACACUGACGCUCAUGCACGAAAGCGUGGGGAGCAAACAGGAUUAGAUACCCUGGUAGUCCACGCCCUAAACGAUGUCUACUAGUUGUUGGGUCUUAAUUGACUUAGUAACGCAGCUAACGCGUGAAGUAGACCGCCUGGGGAAUCGGUCGCAAGNUUAAAACUCAAGGAAUUGACGGCUGAGAGNGCGAGACGACGACGAGGAGGAGG
rnacentral:rRNA from 1 species